GGCCAACGGACAGCAACUGUCCCUCUGAGGGACUGUUUUUCAUUAAAAAUCCCCAUGGACAUGCUUCUGUGAUAAAUAUUUGAAGUAUAACAUGACUCACUGGGUGAUCCUUGGACAUCUGCCCCACAGACUCCCAGCUGCCCCAAUCUACCUGCUUCUCAGGGUGACUGAACUCCUUCUGAGAAAACAUACUCUGGGGAGCUCUAAGUGAGGACUUGGACUUUCCUGCUAGCCCAUGGGUUCCUAGGACAGACACUCAAGAAAUGGUUUCGCAUCAACGAUGGUGUGUUUUCCACGUACUCUAAUCCAGCAUUUCUCAAGCUCAGCACACAUACAAGCCUCCUGGGAGCAGAGAAGAUGCGGAUUCGGAGUCGGGAGUGGAACUCCAUGUCUCAGUUUCUAACAAGGCAUACAGUGCUGGACUGUCCACAAAACAGAGUCUGGGCAUUGCAAUACCAGAGAACCUUGAGAUUGCCCCAAAGAACCCCGAGACUUGCCCCAGGAACAGAAUUGUCGGAGACUGGUGGAUUGAGAAAGUCUGCAGUACUGCUGAAGAACUCAUCCUCUCCCUCCUUCUUACUUGGAACCAAAGUCCACUUCCUGCCCUGGCAACAACUGAGAGAUGAAGAACACUUGCCUUACCAUCCUAUUCAGUCCAACAGUGUGAUAAUGUAUCAUCCUGGGAAGGAACUGGCUACCUUCUUAGGAACUUGUUCCUCAUUCUGGGCACAUAGCAAACCUCUCUUUAGCAGGCUACUUUGCAGUCAAGCACAGUGGUUUUCCUGCUGUUAUUAUUUUGGCUACAACUAUGUAGUCCUGGAUAAAUCAACCCUUCCAUGUUAGACUCUCUAUGCCCUUUUCUCCUCCCCAAUCUGGGCAGAUAGGCAUGGGCUAGUAGAAGCUGCAAACUUAGGGGACAGCUUCCACUUAGUGGGAACAUCACAAGCUCCUAUUGUGGCAAGGGACUGAGAUAUUUGGGGUUUUCCUUUUAGAAUAAUUGUCGUACCCACACUAACAUUUAUUCUCAUUUUACAGGUGAAAAAGUUGAGUCCAGGAGUAUUUAAUUUAACCAAAGUCUCACAAUGAACACAUUCUCUAUAAACU